rnacentral:rRNA from 1 species
ACUCUUUUGUAGAGAGUAAAGUGCACUACGUGUAGUGUAUGCAAGUACCUUACGAAUAAGCAUCGGCUAAUUCCGUGCCAGCAGCCGCGGUAAUACGGAAGAUGCAAGUGUAUCCGGAUUUAUUGGGUUUAAAGGGUGCGUAGGUGGUCUAAUAAGUCAGUGGUGAAAUCUCUUUGCUUAACAAGGAAAUUGCCAUUGAAACUGUUAGACUUGAGAAUGGACGAGGUAGGCGGAAUUCGUAGUGUAGCGGUGAAAUGCAUAGAUAUUACGAAGAACUCCAAUAGUGUAGACUGCUUACCAGACCAUAUCUGACACUAAGGCACGAAAGUGUGGGUAUCAAACAGGAUUAGAUACCCUGGUAGUCCACACAGUAAACGAUGAAUACUAACUGUUUGCGAUAUACAGCAAGUGGUCGAGCGAAAGCGUUAAGUAUUCCACCUGGGAAGUAUGCCGGCAACGGUGAAACUCAAAGGAAUUGACGGGGGCCCGCACAAGCGGAGGAACAUGUGGUUUAAUUCGAUAAUACGCGAGGAACCUUACCCGGGCUCGAACGAUAUUUGAAUACAUCCGAAAAGAUGUAGCUAGCAAUAGCAAAUACCGAGGUGCUGCAUGGUUGUCGUCAGCUCGUGCCGUGAGGUGUCGACUUAAGUGUCAUAACGAGCGCAACCCUUACCGAUAGUUACCAUCAGAUAAUGCUGGGGACUCUAUUGGGACUGCCACCGUAAGGUGUGAGGAAGGAGAGGAUGACGUCAAAUCAGCACGGCCCUUAUGUCCGGGGCGACACACGUGUUACAAUGGGAGAAACAAAGGGUCGCUACCUGGCAACAGGAUGCUAAUCUCGAAAAUCUCUCUCAGUUCGGAUUGGAGUCUGCAACUCGACUCCAUGAAGCUGGAUUCGCUAGUAAUCGCACAUCAGCCAUGGUGCGGUGAAUACGUUCCCGGGCCUUGUACACACCGCCCGUCAAGCCAUGGAAGCUGGAAGUACCUGAAGUAUGUAACUGAAAAGAGCGUCCU